CUCGUGUGAUUGGGAUGUGUGUGCGCAAUCGAAGAAUGAAGCUUUGUGCAUCGCGGCGUCGCCAUGGCAACAGGUCCUUCUCGAUGACAACGACGACUGACUCUGACACAUCAUCACACAGUGCCCCGUUAAGAGCCGCUGAGAGUCUUAAGAUGCCGGAGAGACGGAGCAGCAGACUGGAGUCUAAAGGUCGGGACGUGGGGACGCUGAACGCAUAAUAACUGAGUCUUGGACGUCAGGUUGGAGGUUUUUCUGUGAUAUAGUUUGAAGCCUGCUACGGGAAAAUGAAGAACAGAUGCCAGGGACACAAAAGUGAGGAUCACAUUCCUUAAAUUGAACGUUGGAAAUAUCCUUUAACGACGCUCUGAACCUGCCAGCAGGAACAGACUGAUGAAUCAGCUCAGCAGUGAGUUCAUAACUCUCUGCGCUUCCCUCCACAUCCUGCAGGGUUCCUCACCUGAGCUCCACACCUGCUGCCAAUCCCCUCGUCAAACACUCAGUGUAUAAACCCGCCCCUUUUCCUCACUUCCUGUUUGUCCCUGUGAACACGCACGACACCACGAGCAACGCAGCCACCGUUGAAGACACUUUAACUUUUAAUUUUUUCAUAUCUGAGCCUGGAUUUGAAUCUUUUGCUGUAAAUAUCAGAAUCAUCACCCUUUGAAGUCUGUCUGCUGCGCUCAGUAUCCAUUCUGCAGAUCAGCGCCGGGCAAAUCCACAGGAGAGGAUGCAAGAGGAGGAUACGAGUUUCCACAUUCAGAGCAGAGAGAGAGAGAGAGGAGAUGAACUGCAGCGAGCACAAAGAGCGAAUUCACGGAGGAGGAGGAGGAGGAGGAGGAGGAAGACGGGGAGGGUGAAAUGGAAAGAAUAACGAUGAAGACAAUGAGCGAGGAGAUGAUGAGAGGAGCAGAUGAAAGAGGGGAUGAUGAUGCUGACGAUGAUGGGAGGAAAGUAGUAUCUUGCGAGCGAGCAGAAGAGCCGAAAGACGAGUUUACGACGGCUUCCUGCAGAAAAAACUGCUCCAGUUCCCCCCAUCGCAGUAAAUCAUGUCACUUGGCUACAUCCUGUCUGUUCUCAGCUUCUCACCGGCCUGAAGGCGAUAAACAGCCCUGCUGCGAUAUUGGAAACAGAUGUUAUGAAUGAGAGAGAGAGAGAGAGAGAGAGAGGGAAGGGACGAAUGUAAUAUGCUUGGAAAAAAAAAGUUGCUACUGGUUUCAGUUCAGCCUCCAGUGAAACAGAAGCAGAGCCGACGCUAAAUUCCCGCCAAACGAACGUUUUCUAUCAUCUCAACCAGAAGAUUCACCAAGAAGAUGAUCAGCAUGAGUCCAGACUGUGGUUUGGUUUGAAGAAGUGCCAAAAAAAA